GCGUAGGUGGCAGAGCGGUCAAAUGCAAUAGACUGUAAAUCUAUCGUCCUAUGGGCUACGCAGGUUCGAAUCCUGCCCUACGCA
rnacentral:tRNA from 1 species